CUCCCGAUGUUGCUGAACUACAACUCCCUCUGGCUAGCUAUUUCAUUCAAAGAAUCAUGGGAGUUGUAGUUCAGCAACAUCGGGAG